UGAAGCGGGAAAAGCUCAAAUUUAAAAUCUGGUGGUCUUUGGCCAUCCGAGUUGUAAUCUAGAGAAGUGUUACCCGCGUCGGACCGUGUACAAGUCUCCUGGAAUGGAGCGUCAUAGAGGGUGAGAAUCCCGUCUUUGACACGGACCCCCGAGGCUUUGUGGUGCGCUCUCAAAGAGUCGAGUUGUUUGGGAAUGCAGCUCAAAAUGGGUGGUAAAUUCCAUCUAAAGCUAAAUAUUGGCGAGAGACCGAUAGCGAACAAGUACCGUGAGGGAAAGAUGAAAAGAACUUUGGAAAGAGAGUUAAACAGUACGUGAAAUUGCUGAAAGGGAAACGCUUGAAGUCAGUCGCGUUGGCCGGAAAUCAGCCUUCCUUUUGGUUGGUGUACUUUCUGGUUGACGGGCCAGCAUCAGUUUUGACCGGUGGAUAAAGUUGUGAGGAAUGUGGCAUCUUCGGAUGUGUUAUAGCCUCGCUUCGUAUACAUCGAUUGGGACUGAGGAACUCAGCACGCCGAAAGGCCGGGGUUCGCCCACGUUCGUGCUUAGGAUGCUGGCAUAAUGGCUUUAAUCGACCCGUCUUGAAACACGGACCAAGGAGUCUAACAUGCCUGCGAGUGUUUGGGUGGAAAACCCGAGCGCGUAAUGAAAGUGAAAGUCGAGAUCCUUGUCAUGGGGAGCAUCGACGCCCGGACCAGAAGUUUACGGACGGCCCUGCGGUAGAGCAUGUAUGUUGGGACCCGAAAGAUGGUGAACUAUGCCUGAAUAGGGUGAAGCCAGAGGAAACUCUGGUGGAGGCUCGUAGCGAUUCUGACGUGCAAAUCGAUCGUCAAAUUUGGGUAUAGGGGCGAAAGACUAAUCGAACCAUCUAGUAGCUGGUCC
rnacentral:rRNA from 1 species